rnacentral:rRNA from 1 species
AUUGAACGCUGGCGGCAGGCCUAACACAUGCAAGUCGAACGAGUGGCGGACGGGUGAGUAAUGUCUUGGAAACUGCCCGAUGGAGGGGGAUAACUACUGGAAACGGUAGCUAAUACCGCAUACCAUCGUAUGUGCCCAGGUGGGAUUAGCUAGUGGGUGGGGUAAAGGCUAACCUAGGCGAAGAUCUCUAGCUGGUCUGAGAGGAUGCUCAGCAACACGGGGACGGAGACACGGCCCAGACUCCUACGGGAGGAAGCAGUGGGGAAUAUUGGACAAUGGGCGCAAGCCUGAUGCAGCAAUGCCGCGUGUAUGAAGAAGGCUUUAGGGUUGUAAAGUACUUUAAGCGGGGAGGCGUUACCCGAAGAAGAAGCACCGGCUAACUCCGUGCCAGCAGCCGCGGUAAUAC